AACACAGGUGCUGCAUGGCUGUCGUCAGCUCGUGUCGUGAGAUGUUGGGUUAAGUCCCGCAACGAGCGCAACCCUUGUCAUUAGUUGCUACGAAAGGGCACUCUAAUGAGACUGCCGGUGACAAACCGGAGGAAGGUGGGGAUGACGUCAAGUCCUCAUGGCCCUUAUGGGUAGGGCUUCACACGUCAUACAAUGGUCGGGACAGAGGGUCGCCAACCCGCGAGGGGGAGCCAAUCCCAGAAACCCGAUCGUAGUCCGGAUCGCAGUCUGCAACUCGACUGCGUGAAGUCGGAAUCGCUAGUAAUCGCGGAUCAGCAUGUCGCGGUGAAUACGUUCCCG
rnacentral:rRNA from 1 species